rnacentral:rRNA from 1 species
UUCCGGUUGAUCCUGCCGGAGGCCAUUGCUAUUGGGAUCCGAUUUAGCCAUGCUAGUCGCACGAGUUCAGACUCGUGGCGAAUAGCUCAGUAACACGUGGCCAAACUACCCUUCGGAGCUCCAUACCCUCGGGAAACUGAGGCUAAUAGAGCAUAUCACAAUCCACCUGGAAUGAGGAUUGUGUCAAACGCUCCGGCGCCGAAGGAUGUGGCUGCGGCCGAUUAGGUAGACGGUGGGGUAACGGCCCACCGUGCCAAUAAUCGGUACGGGUUGUGAGAGCAAGAACCCGGAGACGGUAUCUGAGACAAGAUACCGGGCCCUACGGGGCGCAGCAGGCGCGAAACCUUUACACUGCACGAACGUGCGAUAAGGGGACUCCGAGUGCGAGGGCAUAUAGUCCUCGCUUUUCACCACCGUAAGGAGGUGGUAGAAUAAGUGCUGGGCAAGACCGGUGCCAGCCGCCGCGGUAAUACCGGCAGCACGAGUGAUGACCGCUAUUAUUGGGCCUAAAGCGUCCGUAGCUGGCCGUGCAAGUCCAUCGGGAAAUCUGCCCGCCUAACGGGCAGGCGUCCGGUGGAACCUGCAUGGCUUGGGACCGGAAGACCAGAGGGGUACGUCCGGGGUAGGAGUGAAAUCCCGUAAUCCUGGACGGACCACCGGUGGCGAAAGCGCCUCUGGAAGACGGAUCCGACGGUGAGGGACGAAAGCUCGGGUCACGAACCGGAUUAGAUACCCGGGUAGUCCGAGCUGUAAACGAUGUCUGCUAGAUGUGCCACAGGCUACGAGCCUGUGGUGUGUCGUAGGGAAGCCGUGAAGCAGACCGCCUGGGAAGUACGUCCGCAAGGAUGAAACUUAAAGGAAUUGGCGGGGGAGCAC